rnacentral:rRNA from 1 species
AUACGGAGGAUGCCAGCGUUAUCCGGAUUUAUUGGGUUUAAAGGGUGCGUAGGCUGUGCCGCAAGUCAGGGGUGAAAGCCCGGCGCUUAACGCCGGAACUGCCUUUGAUACUGCGGUGCUGGAGUUCGGAUGCCGUGGGAGGACUGGGCAGUGUAGCGGUGGAAUGCUUAGAUAUUGCCAAGAACACCGAUUGCGAAGGCAUCUCACGAAUCCGCGACUGACGCUGAGGCACGAAAGCGUGGGGAUCAAACAGGAUUAGAUACCCUGGUAGUCCACGCAGUAAACGAUGAUGACUAACUGUCGGCGAUAGACUGUCGGCGGCCAAGCGAAAGCGAUAAGUCAUCCACCUGGGGAGUACGACCGCAAGGUUGAAACUCAAAGCAAUUGACGGGG